rnacentral:rRNA from 1 species
GACAGAGGGUGCAAACGUUGUUCGGAAUUACUGGGCGUAAAGGGCUCGUAGGCGGCCAACUAAGUCAGACGUGAAAUCCCCAGGCUUAACCUGGGAACUGCGUCUGAUACUGGAUGGCUUGAAUUCGGGAGAGGGAUGCAGAAUUCCAGGUGUAGCGGUGAAAUGCGUAGAUAUCGGGAGGAACACCAGUGGCGAAGGCGGCGAUCUGGGUGGAUACUGACGCUGAGGUGCGAAAGCGUGGGGAGCAACAGG